ensembl:lncRNA
AUACAUACAAAUAAAUACCAAUUUGUUAAAAUCAGCUAGUUCAGGAAGUAAAAACUAGGGUAAGAAGAAAAAUUUUAUAUAGAAAUUGAUGAUUGAGCUGCAUCUUGAACAGGGGCAAACUGGUAACCAUUUAAGAAUUGGAUUUUCACAGAAAUGGCCAAUUUAUUUUUGAGUUUAAUCUCAUUAACAUUUUCUCCAUCAUUUUCUUAGGUCUAGAUAACAAUAAACCAUAAAACAAACCCUAAUUUUGUAGCCUUUACUAAUUUCUGAGGUAUAUAAGUUCAUAUUGUAAAGAAAACAAUCAGGUGAGGGUGGGAAGGCCCACAAACCAGCUCCAGCCUACCACUGAUUUGAAAGAAAAGAGAAAUUCUAUAUGGUGAAGGUAAGUAGAGAAGGGCACAAUGCUAGGUGGCACAGUAGAUAGCGUUCCAGGCCUAGAGUAAGGAAAAUGGUUCUUCCUGAGUUCAAAUCUGGCCUGGGUGAACCUGGACAAGUCACUUAAUUUUAUUUGUCUCAGUUUCCUUAUCUGUAAAAUGAGCUCGGAAAAAAAUGGCAAAUCACUUUCAAAUCUUUGCCAAGAAAACCCCCUAAAUGGUCAUAAAGAGUUGGACACGACUGAAACAACAAAACAACAAAGGAGAGAAGGCAUUCCAAUCAUGGGAACAGACAAUGCAAAGGGACAAAGAUGUGAUGUCAUUUGAAAUAAUCUUUGUAAGGCAUUUAGCAUAGUACCUGGCAUAUAGUAGGUACUUAAUAAAUUCUUAUUCCUUUCCAGCUCCCUUCCCUUAAUGUGCGGGGAAUAUUGAAUUUCAGAGUAGUGAAAUAUCCUCUUAACUCAAUUUCCCUUUCUCAAAAGUGGGGAUAUUUGCCAGAUAUUAUCCUAUUUUGAUGUUUCUCAGAGAGUUUGGGUCUUUGCCACAAAAAAGCUGGUUGAUUCCAGAAGGGGUUUCUGCUCAGAGGAAGAACACACAGGUUGUAAUCACUCAAAGAAUUUUCAGCAAUUCAGCCUUUAGUUCAGUUUCCUUCUUCAUAGCAUCUUUUCUCACAGGCAGUUAAGAAAAGAAAAUUAAACAGAUACAAAUUCACCUCUGUACAUUUCUCUUUUCUCCCAUAUGGAAAAGAUUUUGGUGAAUAGGAACAUGCCACAAAGAUGAGUAGCCUUAUCAAGCCUUUGGAUAACCCACAAUCGGGAUGGUUGACAUCUAAAUAGUAGUAUUCUGGACUUGGAAUCUGAAAGUUCUGGGUUCUGGAUUCAAAUCUCACCUCUAAUAUUUACUGGCUAUAUUACCACAGACAAAUCAUUUAAUUGAGGUUCAGAGCAUCAGUUUACACAUAACAGAUAUAAUUAUUUCUAAAGUCUACCUCCUAGGAUAACAUGAAUGUCAGCUGUUGAUAUAACAAGUUGCUAAUGACCAACACUGAUGACUUUGGUGAAGUUGUGAAAAGACCCAACCAUUCUGGAGAGCAAUUUGGAACUAUACCCAACGACCUCUCAAAGUGUGCAUAUCCUUUGAUCCAGCAGUGUCUAUCUGGGUCUGUAUCCCAAAGACAUCCUAAAAGGGGGGAAAAGGACCCACAUGUGCAAAAAUGUAUGUAGCAAAAAGUGAGUGGAAGCCCAUCAGUUGGGGAAUGGCUGAAAAAGCUAUAUGAAAGUAAUGGAAUAUAAUUGUUCAACAAGAAAUGAGCAGGAUGAUUUCAGAAAAGUUUGGAAAGUCUUAAAUGAACUGAUGCUGAGUGAAAUGAGCAGAACCAAGAGAAUACUGUAGACACUAACAGCAAGAUUAUGUGACAGUCAACUGUGAUGGACUUGGCUCUUUUCAACAAUGAGGUGAUUCAAAGCAAUUCCAAUAGACUUGGGGUGGAAAAUGUCAUCUGCAGUAAGAGAAGGAACUAUGGAGACUGAGUGUGGAUGAAAUCAUAGUGUUUUCAUCUUUUUGUUGUUGGUGUUUGCUUUUUUCCUUUCUCAUAUUUUUCCCCCCUUUGAUCUGAUUUUUCUUGCACAACAUGACAAAUAUGGAAAUGAAUUGUGCAUAUUUAAUCUAUAUCAGAUUGUUUGCUGUCUUGUGGAGGGGCAAGGGAGGGAGGGAGAAAAAAUUUGGAACAUAAAAAUUUUACAGAAAUUUAGUUGAAAAUUAUCUUUAUAUGUAUUGGAAAAAUAAAAUACUAUUGAAAGCCAGAUAUUGAUGUCAGUAAUCCAGCCAAUGGCUCUUUGAUUACAGACUUUGUUGUUGUUUUUUUCCUAAUUCUUCCUUCUUUUUAGGAGACAUUAUACAUUUUUCAAAGCAUUCCACUACACCAAUAAAUACCAGAACUAAGGUAAAUGCCAAUGAGUAAGUAGGGUUAGGAAGGAAGGUCAUAGUUGAAAGACAAAUCUAAACCAAAAAACUAGGCCGGUUGGUGGCAGGGUGACUAUAAAGUACCAAGAUCCAAGGGACUAAGAGAAAUGAGAAACUCAUUAUUGAUUUACAGCUUCAGAGCCAAGAAGCUAGGACCAGAUUAGGAAGCUAAGAUGCCAGGGACUCAUUAUUUGUUUGAUCCAACCUGCUCCACUUUACUUUCACUUAGCCAUUGUAUGGUACUAAAUGUUCUGCUAGGAUGCACAAUUUGCUUAGAUAUAAGACCAUGUGGGCUUUUGUUAUAUCUGAGUUCUUAUCCAGAUACUUACUAGCUGUGUGAACCUGGGCAAAUCACUUUACUCAUAUGCUUCAGUUUCCUCAUCUGUAAAAUGGGGAUAAAUAACAGUAAUUACCUCCCAGGGUUGUUUUAAGGAACAAAUAUUUGCAAAGUGCUUAGCAAAAUGCCUCUAGGUUCUAUAUAAAUAUUAAAUAUUACCCCCCCCCCAUUUUUAGGAAACAUCCAGAUUCUUAGCUCCUGAUCCCAUAGGAUGCUUGGAUCCUUUUCCCUGUCCUUGCCAGAGGAUGCUGACAUUGCAGAGUUAAGUCAACACUGAACCUGCCUCAGUCUAGAAUAUCCUACUAAAGAGAGUCGCCCUGUCAGAGUGACUUAUUACCAAGGAGCUCUCCUGACCCUGCAAUCACAGAUAUCAUUAUUAAGUUCCACAUCAUUAACUCUUAGGGCCCAAUCCCUUUUGCUCAGUUGAAGAGAGCAGGAUGCUACCCUGAGACUCAGGAUUAUUUCUUUCCCCCAUCUCUGCUUCUGAUUCCCUAAUAACCCAUCCAACCAAUUCUUGUCUCACAUAUAUCCUCUUCUUAAUUCAUCACCUGGAGCAGCAACUUGGAGACUAAAGUUUUCAGCCCAUGUAGAAUUAAUAGCAAGCUUAGGAAGUAUGCACAAAAAUACAUAGGGCAGCACCCACCAAGAAACCCUGAGUUGGUUAGCUAAUGUAUCCAUAUGAAGCUGCCAUGGUGGAAAGUGUUGGCCUGAAGAGUCAAGAGAUCUGUGUUCAAAUUCUGAUUCUAGCAGUCGUUUUUCAGUCAUGGCCAUCUCUUUAUGAUCUUAUUUGGGCCUUUUUGGCAGAAAUAUUGGAAUAGUUUGUUAUUUCCUUUCCCAGAUCAUUUUAUAGAUGAGGAAACUCAGACAAACGUGGUUAAGCGUUGCCCAAGGUCACCAUACUAGUUUCUGGGGCUGGAUUUGAACUCAAUAAGAUGACUCAUCCUAACUUUAGGUUUAGCAUUCCAUCCACUGAACCAACUGGUUCAACACCGACUAGCUACAUGUCAAUGAGAAAGUCACAAUCUCUCAAUUUUCUCUUCUGUAAAACAGGGAUAUUAUUGACAGUGCCCUACUUCUCACAUUCUUAUUGUGAGGAAAAUGCUUGGUGAUUCUUAAUUCUUAGAAAAAUUACUAUUUCUCUAAUUCGGAGUUAUUAUUUAUUGUGUCUGUGUGACAAGACUAUAGCCAUAUUAGUGCAUCUGGGGAACCAUGUAGAAGGGUCCUCCCACCACAGUCACUUCUAUAUCUGUGCACCACUUAAGUAUUUAUGGGGUCUUAUUUACUCAACAUUUAAUUUGCACAUGUUUAACCUAUAUUGGUUCACUUGCUGUCUAGGGGAGAGGAGGUGGGGGGAAAACUGAAACACAAGGUUUUGCAAAGGUGAAUGUUGAAAAUUAUCUUUAUGUGUACAAUUAUUAAUAAUCUCUCCCAAAAAAGACAGGUUAUCUC